UAGGGUCUAUUCUCAUGCCUACCGGAGUUCUCAAGGGCAGGGGACAGGGUAAGUUCAGAACAAGCUUAGGCGCUAAGAUCAGAGAUUGGUGCUCUAGCUCUAAGAAUUCUCUAGUAAAGUAUUACUUAUAAGCUGUUCGAGGAACUAUUGAGGUUAACCAAUUGAUAAGAAAAUCACCAAAACAUGAAAAAAAGAGAACAACUUGAGAAACUCUGAUUGGAAAGCUUAACUAAGAUUUGAAAGAAUGGGGUUUUCUACUUUAACACAGGACUGGCUUUGAAGCGAGGUGUACUAAACUUGACUAAUAGGUAUACUAGGGUCUCUGUAUUGGGAGUGAGAGUGAAACCAGAAGCUAUAGAAGGAAAAGAGGAAAUAAUAAACUCGAGUGAAAGAGU
rnacentral:lncRNA from 1 species